UUCUCUUCAUGCUCAAGUAGACGGGUAAUCUCGUCAGGAAUCUCUUCAACAUCAUCUUCUUCCGCCUCAAAUACAGGGAAUUCAAAGUUGGGAGAUGGUGUUGGAUCAUUAUGUUCAAAUCUCGUCAGGAAUCUCUUCAACAUCAUCUUCUUCCGCCUCAAAUACAGGGAAUUCAAAGUUGGGAGAUGGUGUUGGAUCAUUAUGUUCAAU
rnacentral:lncRNA from 1 species